rnacentral:rRNA from 1 species
GUCCACGCCAUAAACGAUGAAUACUAGGUGUUGGAGGAUUUAAACCCUUCGGUACCGCAGCUAACGCGUUAAGUAUUCCGCCUGGGGAGUACGACCGCAAGGUUAAAACUAAAAGGAAUUGACGGGGGCCCGCACAAGCAGCGGAGCGUGUGGUUUAAUUCGAUGCAACGCGAAAAACCUUACCUGGAUUUGACGUGUCCGUAGUAGUGAAGCGAAAGCGGAACGACCCUUCGGGGAGCGGAUGCAGGUGCUGCAUGGCUGUCGU